CUCUGCAAUAGGCAAAUGAAACUAAAGGGAGAAAGAAAAUAUAGCCAAUUACACUAUACAUAGUUUUUCCAAAAGUGGCUCUGAAAUCAUCCCAACGAUUACAUUUUAAAAGCAUAUUGGUGUAUUUAAGUAAUGUAAAACGUUUGAGUUGAUUCUGAGUUCAAAUUUUUGACCAUUUAAGCUCACUAUAUAGCAUGACAUACAAGAACGUAUUGACAAAUUUUAGAGCAACUUAAAAAAUUCAUUGAAAAUCUAAUUAUAAUUCAACUUUCUGUACAAUAUAUGUACAUGGAAGUACAUACAAAUUCCAUAGAUUCAUAUGUGUUUGGAGGCUCAUUGAGGCUCACUAUAGAACUAUUGAAAGUCUUAAUGAAGAAUUGGCUGGAGAAGGUGUUGUAAUGAAAUGUCCAAAAUAUCAUCUAUCAGAUUAUAUUGGGGACUUUAGUUAUUUAGCUACCACAUUGCGUCAGAUGCCUGUUGAUCCUAACAACACUGAUAAGAAUGCAGAGAAGAUUGAGCCAAUGCCUUCACUAGCUGACAUUAAGAGAGUUGUAACUGAACACUGUAUACUACCACUAGGUAUCCUUCUUAAAAAGGUCUAUUAAAAGGUGUCCUAAUAAUAGAGGCUACACUGUACAUGAACUGUAUGAAUUAGGAGGAUGUGAUAUUAAGGAAGUGAUUGAAAUAACUGAAGAAU